rnacentral:pre_miRNA from 1 species
UUGAAGGACUUGAAGACUUCAACUUGCAUACUUAGAGGAGUUGAAAACUUCAACUUUCAUACUUGGAGGAUUUGAAGACUUCAACU